rnacentral:rRNA from 1 species
UACGUAGGGUGCAAGCGUUAAUCGGAAUUACUGGGCGUAAAGAGCGCGCAGGCGGUCGUUCAAGUCGCGUGUGAAAGCCCCCGGCUCAACUGGGGAGGGUCACGCGAUACUGAUCGACUCGAAGGCAGGAGAGGGAAGUGGAAUUCCCGGUGUAGUGGUGAAAUGCGUAGAUAUCGGGAGGAACACCAGUGGCGAAGGCGGCUUCCUGGCCUGUUCUUGACGCUGAGGCGCGAAAGCUAGGGGAGCAAACGGG